rnacentral:rRNA from 1 species
GACAGAGGAGCCAAGCGUUGUCCGGAUUGACUGGGCGUAAAGCGCACGCAGGCGGAUGCGCGCGUGGGGUGUGAAAUCUGGCCGCUUAACGGCCAGGCGCCAUCCCAUACGGCGCGUCUGGAGUGAUGCAGAGGUCGAUGGAAUUGCCGGUGUAGUGGUGAAAUGCGUAGAGAUCGGCAGGAACACCCAGGGGGAAACCAGUCGAC